UACGGAGGGUGCAAGCGUUAUCCGGAUUCACUGGGUUUAAAGGGUGCAUAGGUGGGUUGAUAAGUCAGUGGUGAAAUCCCCGAGCUUAACUUGGGAACUGCCAUUGAUACUAUUGAUCUUGAAUACCGUGGAGGUCAGCGGAAUAUGUCAUGUAGCGGUGAAAUGCUUAGAUAUGACAUAGAACACCAAUUGCGAAGGCAGCUGGCUACGCGAAUAUUGACACUGAUGCACGAAAGCGUGGGGAUCAAACAGG
rnacentral:rRNA from 1 species